CCAUCUCUAAGUUGCGGUGCUCGCCAAGAACCAGAAUCUCUGGCAUCUCUACCAGGAUUAACGCUGUCUCUCCGGAAUGAAUCCCCACGGAAAAAUUCAGAGGAUGCACCACCGCCACCAUCGGAGAAACCGCGGUCCCGCUCGGGAAUGCUCAACCCCGUGUCCCGCUCAUCAUCCGCCCAAUCAGACUUAUGCGACAGUCGGACAAGCGGGAGAGGCCCGGG
rnacentral:misc_RNA from 1 species